GUGGGAAAGCUGCUGCUCUACCAGGUAAUUUCACCUGCACACCGAGGGAAACGUCAAGACACUUUUUUUUUUAGAGAGAUUGUGGCUAAGAUCCAAACUUUGAUGUGAAUUCAAGAAAAACCCAAAGAGGUGGUGAAGAAAGCUGGAUCUUCCUCAGAAAAAUUAGCUGAAUCAGCCGGUGAUGGUUCAAAUCUUCUGUUUUGUGCAGGGGUUGAAGAUGAUGAGGGAAAUGCUGUAGCUCCAAAAAUUGUCGCAGAUGAAGCCGUGAGCAACUUGAGCAGACCUCUUUGCUCUGAAACAAGCAAGAGAUCCAACGUCUGCGAAGCGGAAGGCGGUAUCAGAUUGCAGGGAAGCUCCCGAACCAUCUUCCUACACCCUUCUUUGGCAGAUCGAGAGUGGAAGAUCAAACCUUACUGCAGAAAGCAUGACCCCCCAGCCAUGAAGAAGGUCAAUGAGUGGACGAUGAAGCCUUUCCCCAGCGACAAGGCACCUCCUCGGUGCACCGCCAAGUACACGGUCCCGGCGCUGGUCUUCUCGAUCGGAGGAUUC
rnacentral:lncRNA from 1 species